rnacentral:rRNA from 1 species
UACGAAGGGGGCUAGCGUUGCUCGGAAUCACUGGGCGUAAAGCGCACGUAGGCGGAUUGUUAAGUCAGGGGUGAAAUCCUGGAGCUCAACUCCAGAACUGCCUUUGAUACUGGCGAUCUCGAGUCCGGGAGAGGUGAGUGGAACUGCGAGUGUAGAGGUGAAAUUCGUAGAUAUUCGCAAGAACACCAGUGGCGAAGGCGGCUCACUGGCCCGGUACUGACGCUGAUGCGCGAAAGCCAGGGGAGCAAACGGG